GUGGCUGUGAGGUUAAGUUCUCCCCAAUUGUUUUAUCCUUUCUUGAAGUGAUUAUGUAGAAUGGAUUGUCUCAGAAAAAGAGCCACAAAGAGUAGUUCCAAUGUUGCUUUAAUGUUCUCCCUAUGAUUACUACAGAAAGGAGGGCCUACAUAAAGUAUGGUGAAUAUAGAACUGUUCUCAAAGCCAGAAGAUCUGAUUGUCCUCAAACCCGGAAAGACCAAGGUUCAAACUCUACCUCCAACACAUACUGGUUGCAUGACUUUGGCUCUAAGAGGGAGGUGCUGACAGGUGAAGAAACUAAGAUUUUGAACUCAUCCAGGCCAGUGCUCCAUCCACUGCCCUACUCUAUGGAGAAGGGAUGAUGAUGGAUCUUACAGAUGAGGAAGAUGAGGCCCAGGGAGGUUAAUGAGCUGGGAGAUGGAUCCGCGCCCUCUGACUCUGGAACUGUUGCUCACUCAAGUGUACCACGCCGUUUUAUUUUUUGCCACAAUUUAUUUUGUUUUUUAAUUGCUUUUUUUGUGUCAACAUGGCCAUGGUUCCUUGAAUUUAUUUGGCAGUGGCAAAAAAUUAAAUUCUGGACUCCCAAGCAAAACUUUCCAAAAGUGAUCCCUUCAUUAAAAUAUCAAUGACUUUCCAUUGGAAACUCUACCUCCCCUUCACUUUUGGACCCCCUUCCCACCAAAACAUAUAUACAUGAGGUGCCUAGGAACUAUUUAUGGCCAUGGCUGAAGCCCUUUAAGUGAAAAUUUUCCCCAUGGUUCUUUUAGAUCGUGAUCCAAAGGCAUUUCUUUUUUGUUUUUUAUUGCUUUUUUUGUUUUUACAUCACAGCCAUUUACCCUGCAACUGUCUUCCUCUACUGAACCCUUCUUUAUAAGAAAGAAAAACAUUUAAUCAAAGCCAACCAACUCAGCAAUUGCAUCUGACAACAUAGACCAUAUUCACUGUCA